rnacentral:lncRNA from 1 species
GGGCCCACAGGUUGGGUCACGGGUCGCACACUGGGCCGGCUGGGCCUGUUCCAGGUCCGUCCAUGCAGGGCGUGCGUGUUCGGUACCUUGGGCCUACGCAUGAGCGGCGGACUCCAUGUGCGAUGCUUGAAGACCUUCUAAGUCGUGCGGCAGAGCUAUUGGGUCUGCCCGUGCGCGGGCCUUGCAGCGCAAAUGUGCAUGUCACGCGCAUGUGGGCUGUGCAUACUUGGUUCGUGGGCCAUCUUCCUCGAGCAUGGACUUUCUUACAAUUCUUCAAGUCCAAUAAUCUUACUUGGGCCUUAUAU